rnacentral:rRNA from 1 species
AUGAUGAAGAAGACAAAUCACUUUGUAUGGAGUGAUGCUGCUGAUCAGGCGUUUGAGGCCUUGAAGAAACAGUUGGCUGAGCCGCCGGUUCUUGUUGCUCCCAUUGAUAUAGAUCCUUUGUUGUUAUAUGUGGUUGCCAACAGCCGAGGUGUCAGCGUGGCAAUUGUGGUGGAAAGGAAGGAGUCAGGUAAGGAAUAUCCGGUUCAGUGGCCGGUUUACUACAUCAGUGAGGUGCUCAUUGAGUCCAAGCAGAGGUGUCCGAAUUGGCAGAAGCUUGUAUAUGGGGUGUUCAUGGCUAGUCUUCCAAGCCGGUGGCGGCUCCCAACACGGAGCACACGACGGUUGAGCGCGGCGCGGGGGAAUGACAUCGUCCUCAAGAUUACGACACAACAAGCACGAGACCUCACUGCUGCCAUCUCCGACCUCUUCGGUCGUCGAGGUCGCCGCCUGUCACGCAUCCGUGCUGACCGGGGCGUUCAUCUUCAUCUGUGGCUCCGGCGCGAGUGCUCCUCUUGUGCCGCGGCAGUCGAUGCCGAAGCUGCCGCACCGUCCCACACACCCACCACUCCUCCACCUUCGCGGCGCAUAGGCAUGCACCGCCGCCCCGGGGCCCUCGUAGUCCCACUGGAGAGUCCUCCGUCGAGCAGCUGCUCCGGCCGCGUAGCAGCAGCGCUCGCGCUCGCCAGUGGCGCCUACAAUGGCGUUGCGCCUGGCACCCACCUCCGCGGUGGAUCCUCCUCCAGGACGAGAGCGGCGGGAGAUCUUCUCUUCGCCGGUGAUGCAGCCGGCCAGCCGGCGCUGGGGUCCUCCGCCGGUCUCUGCUGUGGAUUUGAGAUCCAAGUGACUCGGGAAUUGCUAGACAUGUUUAUUUCAUCUAGUCGUUCUCCCUUAUCUACUCGCUUUGACCAGGUCGAGGCUUCCUUACGUGGCCAUAUGCAUGCGCUGGGAAUUUAG